AUUGAACGCUGGCGGCAGGCCUAACACAUGCAAGUCGAGCGGAGCGGCGGACGGGAGAGUCAUGCCUAGGAAUCUGCCUGGUAGUGGGGGAUACCGUCCGGAAACGGGCGCUAAUACCGCAUACUAUCAGAUGAGCCUAGGUCGGAUUAGCUAGUUGGUGGGGUAAAGGCCUACCAAGGCGAGGAGCCGUAACUGGUCCGAGAGGAUGAUCAGUCACACGGGAACUGAGACGCGGUCCAGACUCCUACGAGAGGGAGCAGUGGGGAAUAUUGGACAAUGGGCGAAAGCCUGAUCCAGCCAGGCCGCGUGUGUGAAGAAGGUCUUCGGAUUGGAAAGCCCGUUAAGUUGGGAGGCGGUACCAACAGAAGAAGCACCGGCUAACUUCGUGCCAGCAGCCGCGGUAAUUC
rnacentral:rRNA from 1 species